rnacentral:rRNA from 1 species
GUCCACGCCCUAAACGAUGUCAACUGGCUGUUGGGAGAGAAAUCUCUCAGUAGCGAAGCUAACGCGUGAAGUUGACCGCCUGGGGAGUACGGCCGCAAGGUUGAAACUCAAAGGAAUUGACGGGGGCCCGCACAAGCGGUGGAUGAUGUGGAUUAAUUCGAUGCAACGCGAAGAACCUUACCUACCCUUGACAUGCCAGGAAGUUUCCAGAGAUGGAUUCGUGCCCGCAAGGGAACCUGGACACAGGUGCUGCAUGGCUGUCGU